rnacentral:rRNA from 1 species
CCUACGGGAGGCAGCAGUGAGGAAUAUUGGUCAAUGGGCGUAAGCCUGAACCAGCCAAGUCGCGUGAGGGAUGAAGGUUCUAUGGAUCGUAAACCUCUUUUAUAAGGGAAUAAAGUGUGGGACGUGUCCUGUUUUGUAUGUACCUUAUGAAUAAGGAUCGGCUAACUCCGUGCCAGCAGCCGCGGUAAUACGGAGGAUCCGAGCGUUAUCCGGAUUUAUUGGGUUUAAAGGGUGCGUAGGCGGCCUUUUAAUUCAGCGGUGAAAGUCUGUGGCUCAACCAUAGAAUUGCCGUUGAAACUGGGAGGCUUGAGUAUGUUUGAGGCAGGCGGAAUGCGUGGUGUAGCGGUGAAAUGCUUAGAUAUCACGAAGAACCCCGAUUGCGAAGGCAGCCUGCCAAGCCAUGACUGACGCUGAUGCACGAAAGCGUGGGGAUCAAACAGGAUUAGAUACCCGGGUAGUC